UCGUGUUGGCAACUGAGUUGUAUGAUUUCUUGUAUGGGCGGGGAAUCGUACUUGGUGUAAAAACUACUUAGUUGGUGGCAUUGGUAAUAAUUGAAAUGUUGUGUCACGCUAGUUGUUAUAUACAGAUAAAUAGGUCAUAGGUAGAGAAUAUAGGAUUAAGUACGAGUUCUUAGAACUCAUACUUAUGUGACAUUCUUGACUCAUAGUUAUAUGAAAUGUUUAUGAGCCCCUCAGCGAACGGACGCCAAAGGUCAGACUAGGGUAAGUUCGUAAACUCAUAUAAUUGUGGCCAGGUUAUGAACUCAUAAGUGUGGUUUUAUGAACUGGGUAUAGUUGUGUGAAUGGAGUGUUAAGGAUAAUAGGAAUAGAUAGAAUGUUUAAGCAAAUGAUCAUUAGUGGAGACUUAGGUUUUCCUAAACUCCUAGCUAUGCUAAACUUCGAUAUUUUGACAUCAAGAUAAAUACGCACUAUGUGCUUUUAAAAAAAAAAAUUGUUUUUAUUUAUCACUUAUUUACCAUUUGACCUGGUGCAGAGAUGAUAAAAAUGAUGGAG
rnacentral:lncRNA from 1 species